rnacentral:rRNA from 1 species
AACGAACGCUGGCGGCAGGCUUAACACAUGCAAGUCGAGCGCAUCCUUCGGGGUGAGCGGCGGACGGGUGAGUAACGCGUGGGAACGUGCCCUCUUCUACGGAAUAGCCUCGGGAAACUGAGAGUAAUGCCGUAUACGCCCGCAAGGGGAAAGAAUUAUCGGAGGAGGAUCGGCCCGCGUUGGAUUAGGUAGUUGGUGGGGUAACGGCCUACCAAGCCGACGAUCCAUAGCUGGUUUGAGAGGAUGAUCAGCCACACUGGGACUGAGACACGGCCCAGACUCCUACGGGAGGCAGCAGUGGGGAAUCUUGGACAAUGGGGGCAACCCUGAUCCAGCCAUGCCGCGUGAUCGAUGAAGGCCUUAGGGUUGUAAAGAUCUUUCAGCUGGGAAGAUAAUGACGGUACCAGCAGAAGAAGCCCCGGCUAACUCCGUG